GACAGAGGGGUGCAAACGUUGUUCGGAAUUACUGGGCGUAAAGGCGCGUGUAGGCUGCUCAGAAAGUCGGAUGUGAAAGCCCUGGGCUUAACCUAGGAAGUGCAUUCGAAACUUCUGAGCUGGAGUCCUGGAGAGGAAGGCGGAAUUCUCGGUGUAGAGGUGAAAUUCGUAGAUAUCGGAAGGAACAUCAGUGGCGAAGGCGACCUCCUGGACCAAUACUGACACUCAAGUGCGAAAGCGUGGGGAGCAAACAGG
rnacentral:rRNA from 1 species